rnacentral:rRNA from 1 species
UGGCGCACGGGUGAGUAACACGUGACUAAUCUACCCUCGAGUGGGGAAUAACUGAGAGAAAUCUUAGCUAAUACCGCAUAACACUUACGAGUCAAAGCAGCAAUGCGCUUGGGGAGGAGGUCGCGGCCGAUUAGUUAGUUGGCGGGGUAAUGGCCCACCAAGACGAUGAUCGGUAUCCGGCCUGAGAGGGCGCACGGACACACUGGAACUGAAACACGGUCCAG